rnacentral:misc_RNA from 1 species
GCGAUCUUCUCAUCUCAUCGCGCGAAUCACUGGUUGAGUCUUAAGAUGACGACCACCAAAAUUAUCGGAGCGGUGGCGGCAUCAUUUGUUGUCGCAUAUGCAUGUGACUAUGUAGUCUCUGUCAAAAAGAUUUUUGGUGGUACCACCCCCCACACCGUCGCUGACAAGGAGUGGUGGGAAGCGACUGAUAAGAAGUUCCAGGCGUGGCCUCGUACUGCUGGACCACCGGUCGUCAUGAACCCUAUCAGCCGCCAGAACUUCAUUGUCAAGCCAUCUGAAUCCUAAAGACAUGUCCGGGGAGUAAAUAUUUUGCUGGUGAUAAGAAGUCCGGUAUGGCUGCUUUUGUUUAAGACUUUUAAAUGUAGUUUCUGGAUUUCC